GCGAUCAUACCAGCACUAAUGCACCGGAUCCCAUCAGAACUCCGAAGUUAAGCGUGCUUGGGCGAGAGUAGUACUAGGAUGGGUGACCCCCUGGGAAGUCCUCGUGUUGCACCA
rnacentral:rRNA from 1 species